CAUAUCCCUGAAACAUUUUUG
rnacentral:piRNA from 1 species